CUUUUUUCUCGCUAUUGAAAUCUCUUCUCUCUAUGGAUACUGUUAUGUAUAUAUUUUUGUACCCUGCACAAUAAUGAAUCCAGACCAGUAUUCUCCAAAGUUGACCCCUCUGUAGGGCCUGCUUGUUUUUCUCCUGAACAUAGGAGCGGGCCCCGAUUUUAUAAAAGUUGUGGUGGUUCUAGUGGCAUUAGGAGAAGUGGCCUAGAGGCUGCUGGUUAUGAUCAGAAUGAAGAUGAGAUUGGAAAUGUAAUUAUUGUUUGUGUAGUUAUUCAGCUACUUCAGCUCUGUUGAGAAGCUAGUGAGAUUCGGCUCACUCUUUUCACCCAGUCCUCCAAUACAUCAAGCUGUGAAUAGAGCAACAUGUUUGUAUCAUUCAUCAGUCAAGAAAACAGCUGAGUACAUGUGUAGCCUGAUGAGAUUUCUGGUUCACCAGUAGGCUGUGGUGUGCAUUUAAGUCUGCUUCGGAUGCCUGUGAGAGAGGCUGUACUUCUGCACAAUGUCCAAUGUUUGUACAAACUAUUAGUUGGAUGUGUAGUGUUUGUCACUUGACUUCAGUGUGUCUGUGGUGUGUUGAAUUGCAAUGUAGACCUCUGGGUGAUUUUUAAAAUAAUUAACGUUUUGGUUUUUGGAAAUGAGGAAGUGACACGGCGGUUUCUGUAACAUCAUGCCCGAGUGCACUUGUAUCCGCAAGAAAUAACCGUGUGGCCUUCUAUCCAUUUUGAAAGGCUAGCAUUGUGUAUUAAGAGAAGGUACAGAGGGUCUCAGGCCCUGGUGAGAAAUGAGGACAUGUUGUAGCUCCUGGAAGAACUGGUAGAACCGUUGCAUUUAUUUCAGCUGCAUUUCAUCUCUUUUGUAAGGUUGAACUUAGCAGCGUCACAAGACUUUUAGCCAUUUGAUACUAAAUGUCAUGGAUUAGCCAGAAAAUAACCUUUGACUGAAUCAAUGAAUUCUUGCCCCAGCUUUUUGUGGACUCUCUCGGAUAGUCCUGCUUCACCUGUGGAGCAGAUCUGUAGACCGCAGCAGUCGCAUCCUUUCAGUCACAAGGAGGUGCAGAGAUGGAACAAAUUAAGUCAAGAAAAUAACUAAUAUUCAUGAUGGUGAUGGAACGAGUGAACAUGAACUAAUGAGGAAAAAAGCAUAGAUCAAAUGUUGCCAGUGGAAUUUCUUUUUUUCUCUUUUUUUUAAUGCAAUGACAUUUGUUUAUUUUCUGAAUAUUUUAAUGUGAAAAGAACAAUACACUGGCCUUAGGGUCCCUGUCUCAACACCAUGUGAUUUAGAUUGUCUACAAUGACCACUACUAAUGAUGUUGUUGUAGCACUGAAAGUUGAGACUUACUUGAAAGUUUUGCUCUUCAAUAAAUUUGAAGACCGAAAAAGCAAUUGUCUCAAUCAUUGCUUUUUGGCUUCAGAGUAUCAAUUCAA
ensembl:lncRNA